rnacentral:rRNA from 1 species
UACGAAGGGGGCUAGCGUUGCUCGGAAUCACUGGGCGUAAAGCGCACGUAGGCGGACUCUUAAGUCAGGGGUGAAAUCCUGGAGCUCAACUCCAGAACUGCCUUUGAUACUGAGGAUCUUGAGUUCGGGAGAGGUGAGUGGAACUGCGAGUGUAGAGGUGAAAUUCGUAGAUAUUCGCAAGAACACCAGUGGCGAAGGCGGCUCACUGGCCCGAUACUGACGCUGAGGCACGAAAGCGUGGGGAGCGAACAGG